rnacentral:rRNA from 1 species
AUUGAACGCUGGCGGCAGGCCUAACACAUGCAAGUCGAACGAGUGGCGGACGGGUGAGUAAUGUCUGGGAAACUGCCUGAUGGAGGGGGAUAACUACUGGAAACGGUAGCUAAUACCGCAUACCAUCAGAUGUGCCCAGAUGGGAUGAGCUAGUGGGUGGGGUAACGGCGCACCAAGGAGACGAUCCCUAGCUGGUCUGAGAGGAGGACCAGCAAACAUGGAACUGAGACACGGUACAGCGUCCUACGGGAGGCAGCAGUGGGGAAUAUUGCACAAUGGGAGCAAGCCUGAUGCAGCCAUGCCGCGGGUAUGAAGAAGGCGUUCGGGUUGUAAAGUACUUUCAGCGGGGAGGCGUUACCCGCAGAAGAAGCACCGGCUAACUCCGUGCCAGCAGCCGCGGUAAUAC